UUCCCUGUAGCUCAGUUGGUAGAGCAUGGUGUUUGCAACGCCAGGGUUAUGGGUUCGAUUCCACGGGGGGC
rfam:Salmo salar isolate Sally breed double haploid chromosome ssa16, whole genome shotgun sequence.